UACGGGGGGGAGCAAGCGUUGUUCGGAUUUACUGGGCGUAAAGGGCGCGUAGGCGGCCAGCACAAGUCAGUUGUGAAAUCUCCGGGCUUAACUCGGAAAGGUCAACUGAUACUGUGCGGCUAGAGUGCAGAAGGGGGCAACUGGAAUUCUCGGUGUAGCGGUGAAAUGCGUAGAUAUCGGGAGGAACACCAAUGGCGAAGGCAGCUCGCUGGGACGGUACUGACGCUGAGACGCGAAAGCGUGGGGAGCAAACAGG
rnacentral:rRNA from 1 species